rnacentral:rRNA from 1 species
GACGAACGCUGGCGGCGUGCCUAAUACAUGCAAGUCGAACGAGAGCGACCGGUGCUUGCACUGGUCAAUCUAGUGGCGAACGGGUGAGUAACACGUGGGUAACCUGCCCAUCAGAGGGGGAUAACAUUCGGAAACGGAUGCUAAAACCGCAUAGGUCUUCGAACCGCAUGGUUUGAAGAGGAAAAGAGGCGCAAGCUUCUGCUGAUGGAUGGACCCGCGGUGCAUUAGCUAGUUGGUGAGGUAACGGCUCACCAAGGCCGUGAUGCAUAGCCGACCUGAGAGGGUGAUCGGCCACAUUGGGACUGAGACACGGCCCAAACUCCUACGUGAGGCAGCAGUAGGGAAUCUUCCGCAAUGGACGCAAGUCUGACGGAGCAACGCCGCGUGAGUGAAGAAGGUUUUCGGAUCGUAAAACUCUGUUGUUAGAGAAGAACAAGUGCUAGAGUAACUGUUAGCGCCUUGACGGUAUCUAACCAGAAAGCCACGGCUAACUACGUG